GCUAAUACCGCAUACGUCCUGAGGGAGAAAGUGGGGGAUCUUCGGACCUCACGCUAUCAGAUGAGCCUAGGUCGGAUUAGCUAGUUGGUGGGGUAAAGGCCUACCAAGGCGACGAUCCGUAACUGGUCUGAGAGGAUGAUCAGUCACACUGGAACUGAGACACGGUCCAGACUCCUACGGGAGGCAGCAGUGGGGAAUAUUGGACAAUGGGCGAAAGCCUGAUCCAGCCAUGCCGCGUGUGUGAAGAAGGUCUUCGGAUUGUAAAGCACUUUAAGUUGGGAGGAAGGGCAGUAAGUUAAUACCUUGCUGUUUUGACGUUACCAACAGAAUAGGCACCGGCUAACUUCGUGCCAGCAGCCGCGGUAAUACGAAGGGUGCAAGCGUUAAUCGGAAUUACUGGGCGUAAAGCGCGCGUAGGUGGUUCAGCAAGUUGGAUGUGAAAUCCCCGGGCUCAACCUGGGAACUGCAUCCAAAACUACUGAGCUAGAGUACGGUAGAGGGUGGUGGAAUUUCCUGUGUAGCGGUGAAAUG
rnacentral:rRNA from 1 species